rnacentral:misc_RNA from 1 species
GUAGGUGAACCUGCGGAAGGAUCAUUACUGAGUUAGGGUCUUCCAGGCCCGAUCUCCCAACCCUCUGUCUACCUGUACCAUGUUGCUUCGGCGGGCCUGUCUGGUGGAUUCCGGACGGUCGGGGGGGUGUCACCCCCCUCCUGGCUUGUGCCCGUCGGUGGCCUACCAACAUAAACUCUUGAUGAAACUAUGUCGUCUAAGUCUU